CUACGUGCCAGCAGCCGCGGUAAUACGUAGGGGGCUAGCGUUAUCCGGAUUUACUGGGCGUAAAGGGUGCGUAGGUGGUCCUUCAAGUCGGUGGUUAAAGGCUACGGCUCAACCGUAGUAAGCCGCCGAAACUGGAGGACUUGAGUGCAGGAGAGGAAAGUGGAAUUCCCAGUGUAGCGGUGAAAUGCGUAGAUAUUGGGAGGAACACCAGUAGCGAAGGCGGCUUUCUGGACUGCAACUGACACUGAGGCACGAAAGCGUGGGUAGCAAACAGGAUUAGAUACCCUGGUAGUCCACGCUGUAAACGAUGAGUACUAGGUGUUGGGUCCUUUCCGGGACUCAGUGCCGCAGCUAACGCAUUAAGCACUCCGCCUGGGGAGUACGACCGCAAGGUUGAAACUCAAAGGAAUUGACGGGGGCCCGCACAAGCGGUGGAGCAUGUGGUUUAAUUCGAAGCAACGCGAAGAACCUUACCAGGUCUUGACAUCC
rnacentral:rRNA from 1 species